rnacentral:rRNA from 1 species
AGAGUUUGAUCAUGGCUCAGAGCGAACGUUAGCGGCGGGCCUAACACAUGCAAGUCGAGCGAGAAAGCGGCUUCGGCCGUGAGUAAAGCGGCGGACGGGUGAGUAACACGUGGAUAACCUGCCCUUCAGCGGGGGAUAACUGUCCGAAAGGAUAGCUAAUACCGCGUACGUCGGCGAGGACCUCGGUUCUUGUCGGGAAAGCAGCCCUCUUCAUGAAAGGUUGCGCUGAAGGAUGGGUCCGCGUCCCAUCAGCUAGUUGGUGAGGUAAUGGCUCACCAAGGCGAAGACGGGUAGCUGGUCUGAGAGGAUGAUCAGCCACACUGGAACUGAGACACGGUCCAGACUCCUACGGGAGGCAGCAGUGGGGAAUAUUGGGCAAUGGGCGCAAGCCUGACCCAGCCACGCCGCGUGAGUGAUGAAGGCCUUCGGGUCGUAAAGCUCUGUGGGGAGCGACGAAAAUACGCUGGCUAACAUCCAGCGGACUGACGGUAGCUCCUUAGCAAGCACCGGGCUAACUCUGUGCCAGCAGCCGCGGUAAUAC